rnacentral:lncRNA from 1 species
AAUCAAAGCUUCUUAAACAAGCAAAUAUAACAAUAUAAACAAAAUAGUGUAAAGAGAAGCUCUCAAACGAAUUUUGAAGAUGAAGGAACUCGGCUUCUUCUUUACUUGACCCUCUUCUAAUUUGGCACGAGGUAGAGGAUGAUUGAGGCAGCACACGGAUGGAGAGGAAGCUUUGGGAUUCACUUGGAUGCUCUUCUUCUCUCUAUUUCACUUUGGAUGGCCCUUUUGUGCUUAUGGGAGAUUUCCCUUGUAAUCUCUUUG